AUCAAGUCUGGUGUUGGGAACAUCACUGAUGAAAGACACUUGAC
rnacentral:hammerhead_ribozyme from 12 species